rnacentral:rRNA from 1 species
UACGUAGGUGGCAAGCGUUGUCCGGAUUUACUGGGCGUAAAGAGCUCGUAGGCGGUUCAGUAAGUCGGGUGUGAAAACUCUGGGCUCAACCCAGAGACGCCACCCGAUACUGCUGUGACUUGAGUACGGUAGGGGAGUGGGGAAUUCCUGGUGUAGCGGUGAAAUGCGCAGAUAUCAGGAGGAACACCAGUGGCGAAGGCGCCACUCUGGGCCGUAACUGACGCUGAGGAGCGAAAGCGUGGGUAGCAAACAGG